GAGUUGCGAACGGGUGAGUAACGCGUAGGUAACCUACCUAUUAGAGGGGGAUAACUAUUGGAAACGAUAGCUAAUACCGCAUAACAGUAUGUAACACAUGUUAGAUGCUUGAAAGAUGCAAUUGCAUCGCUAGUAGAUGGACCUGCGUUGUAUUAGCUAGUAGGUAGGGUAAUGGCCUACCUAGGCAACGAUACAUAGCCGACCUGAGAGGGUGAUCGGCCACACUGGGACUGAGACACGGCCCAGACUCC
rnacentral:rRNA from 1 species